CCUAAACGAUUGGAAAACACUGUUUUACCAGUUAAAAUAUCUCCGCCGCUUUUUCAGAAACCGACUGGCCGCCAUCAAGCGCAUCCGCCUGCCGCCGAAGCAUCUCUGCCCUCAGUUUCUCAAACGCACGCUGGAUCCUCUCCUUUGACUCAGGGUCCUUCCCUAUUGUCCUCCGGGCGGAAUAAACGCCAGUGAUAAGUCCCGUUUCUCCACCCAUAAACAACCCCCCAGCUGCGAACAAUGUAAACAUCACCAUGUCGCUGAGUAUUGUGGGUCGGAGCAGAGGGCUCAGAUCAGGAACCGGCUCUUGUCCAAAGUAGAUACGAAGGAAUUGUUAGUUCAAACCUAUCAAAUAAUCCCUAAGGAAGAUCUUUUGUUCAUCUUUGUCAUUCCUACCUAGCCUGCCGCUUGCAAACUGCACAUGAGUGGGCCUCUCCAUAACCUUGAAUGUAUUGAAUAUAUUCAUCCGCAUUCGCCGGACCCGUAAACCCAACCAUAUUCCCAGCCCAAUACCAACGACAGAACCGACGGCAGUGUGUGUUGCUAGCUUCGAUGCGGCGGAAUUCAGGGUAUCACGGUCCGAUUGCUGGAGAUUAUGCUUCAGAUGUUCCCGCCCCAGAUAGGCAAGCUCCUGGCGGGUCGUGCCGCGGAAGGCCGCGAGCGAAUCGGGCAUUUUGUUUCUAGAUCUUUAUUUUCCGGCUUACCCUAACGGGAUAUAGAUAUGGUACCCUUGGAAAUUGGGAAGGAAAGGCGUAUUCGCGACCAAUUCAAUUGUGGCCAUAAUUUCAUAAUGGUUAUUGUGAUGAGGGUUGAGCAGGCGGAGCUAUAUAAGCUCCUGAAUCUGUGACGUCAUCAUGCAAGCUUCUGAGAUCCAGACUUAGCUUGGUACUGUACAUUUCGUUCAUGAUUUUAAUAGCGUUGCCCAAAGAGAACGUCGUAUCUUGAAACAAAUUAAAUUUGAAUGCGGAGA
rnacentral:sRNA from 1 species